AAAAAAAGUAGCAUCAGUGGUGAAUUAGUGGCCUCUUUGUUUUUGGUACUAAUGAAUGAGAGCGGAGUCUCACCCUAACAAUGUUCAUGCCAAGCAAAGCCUAGGUGGGGGGACAAAGACCAGUCCUGCAGGAACAAGCUAACUGAAACAGUCUCCAUCUCUGCAGCCCUUAGCAACACGUCUACUCAACACCUCUCUUUUCUAUCUGGAUAUAAUUUAUUUUUCCAUAUCUUUUUUAUUAGCCUUCUUCAAUAAAUCUCUUAAAUUCAAGUUACUAAAUUACACACUGUGGCAGAAAUAAUGCAAUGUGAUCACGGAUUUCCAUUUCAUUUUCUUCCUGAACAUUUGGAAAAACUCUAUUUCCCAGGCUCCUUUACAGUUAGGUAGGCCAUGUGACUGAAUUCUGGUGAAUAAAAUUAGGGCAUAAAUAAUAUGUCAUGUCCAGGCUUGGCUCCAAAACUUCCUGCAUAUUUCUCUACACUUUCUAUUGUUCCUUUUGAUUACAGGCCAGAUGUAGAAGAUCCAAUGGAGAAUUCUGAGGCCCAAGGUGAUUUUAGAACUACUACACGGAAGGAGCCUGCCCAGACAUCUGCACUGUACUGUGAUCUGGUGCAGAUUGAGAAUUCUAGCAGUUUGGGAGAAGUUAAAGCCUCUCAACAGGGAACACUGCAUUUAAAGGAUCCUGUAAACUGCAGCACCAGGAAAACCAUAGUCCAAGUCUUCAUUCUUCAGCUUGCAGUCACGUCACCACCAUAUGCUGUACACUAGAGUAUUUAUGGCUUGAAUCACACAUGGAGCCAGUCUUAUCUCAGGCAACCAUGCUGUCUGCAUCAGUAUAAGAUAAAACUGUGCUAAUGACAGGAGGGCAUGUUUAAAUGUACGUUUCCAUGUAUGGGAUAAAAUACUUCGUCAAAUGAAGCUUGGUCAAAUGAAGCUUCAUGCUACUUCUCUGUGAAUGUGGUAUUUAUUUUAUGGGGCAGCAAAGGCAGGGAUUAGCUUCAUUUUUGCAUCUGAUUCUAGGCAGAUAGUGAUGCUAAAAGGUUAAUGCUUAAGUUACUGUCUUUCAGUUACUAUCUAACAGCAGGACAAUGCUCUUAGAGUUUAUGGAAUUAUUAGCUACUUUUUAGUCUGCUUGAAACUGGAAUGCCAUACCUUGCCAGUUAUUUUAGCUCCACUCUGCUCCUACUAAGUAAGGUCAUUUUUGGUACAGUGAUUUGUUAGACAAGACAAGUAAGAUUCAAAUACAAGAUUUGUCACUGUGGGUUUCACUUCUGUCCAUCUGAUGACCAGGCUGCUCUGGCUCUGUGCUUAUAUAUUGGGAAGAAUUUGCUAGGCUCUUGAAGUUAUCCUUAAUGCCAUCUUUCUCUCUGAAGACAAUGGUUUCAUUUUUUAACAAUAUCCUGUGGGGGAAGCCUGACCCAGAGAACUGUUUAAGAUACCCAUAUUCUCCAUCCUGAGGCAGGAAAAGAAUUCUGAAAAGGCUGUAGGGAUUGGAACUCUCAGACUGUGGGACAGAAAAAUUAGCACAGUAACUUCCUUCUCCACUUUUGUGGGUUAACCCAAAACUGUUAUCUGAACUACAAAUUCCUUAAGAUUAGGGAUUGUAUCUUUUUUGUUUUUGUAUCUCUAGUACCCAGUUUAAUGCCUCAGUAAGUGAUGAAUAAACAAAUGAAUGCAUACAUGCACAAACAAAUUAUGUGUCCUCUUUUUGGUCCUCCAUUUCAGCCUUCUGAAGGCUGAGAGAGAAGCUGAUGUUAUAGAGUUCUUAAAGGUUUUCAAACUAAUGGGAGAAAAACUGGGAUAUAAUUUGAAGAGAGAUUUGGGGGAAGUAGCUCCAAGGAAGGUUAGUGUUGGUUUGAAAGUCAUAGCACCAGGAAUGUUAUUAUUGUCACUAAAACAAUUUUAAAAAAUGGAAAGAGUAAUUGCCCUCAGUGAUUUUUUAGACAUCAUGAAAACCUGCAACUAAUUGCUACAAUAUGACUGUCCUCAGGAGAUGAUAGGUCAUGUAUGGAGCACACAUCUAUAGGUGUAUAUGCACCUUGUCAAUGAUUAUACAUAUACAUUUCCUGAAAAGCCUAUCAGUUAGUUACACUGGGAGAUGUACAAUGUAGUUCUAAAGGCCUAGGGAGGAACAGGCCAUACGUGUUGGGAGAUGAACCAAGUUUGCAGCAAAAGAACUUCAGAAGGCAGGGACUACACUGAAAUAGUCUCUUACAUAAAGCAUAUGAAAGUCUGCUAGAGAUGGCGGAAAAAUGGUUCCAACU
rnacentral:lncRNA from 1 species